GUCCUCUUGAUUUAUAUAUGAGGUCUGACCUGCCCAGUGAAAAUUAUUUUAACGGCCGCGGUAUUUUGACCGUGCAAAGGUAGCAUAAUCAUUAGUCUUUUAAUAGGAGGCUGGAAUGAAGGGUUUGACGAGGUAUUGACUGUCUCAUUUAAUUUGAAAUUAAAAUUUAACUUUUCAGUUAAAAGGCUGAAAUUGUAUUGGAAGACGAGAAGACCCUAUAGAGCUUUAUAUUUAAAAUUAAUAAUAAAUUUUUGUUUAUUAUUAUUUCUUAUUAUUUUAAUUAUUUUGUUGGGGUGACAAAAAUAUAUAAAUAACUUUUUUAUUUAAAUAACAUUGAUUUAUGAUUAUUAGAUCCAGUCUUAUUGAUUGUUAGAUUAAGUUACCUUAGGGAUAACAGCGUAAUCUUCCUUCAGAGUUCAUAUUUACAGGAAGGAUUGCGACCUCGAUGUUGGAUUAAGAUAAUAAUUAGGUGUAGCCGCUUAAUAUAUAGGUCUGUUCGACCUUUAAAUUCUU
rnacentral:rRNA from 1 species